GACGAACGCUGGCGGCGUGCUUAACACAUGCAAGUCGAACGGAAAGGCCCUGCUUGUGUGGGGUGCUCGAGUGGCGAACGGGUGAGUAACACGUGUGUAACCUGCCCUUGACUUUGGUAUAACUUCAGGAAACUGGGGCUACUACCGGAUAGCAUCUCCUGCUGCAUGGUGGGGGUUGGAAAGUUUCGGCGGGUGGGGCUGGACUCGCGGCUUAUCAGCUUGUUGGUGGGGUAGUGGCUUACCAAGGCUUUGACGGGUAGGCGGCCUGAGAGGGUGACCGGCGACAAUGGGACUGAGAUACGGAGCAGACUCCUACGGGAGGCAGCAGUGGGGAAUAUUGCACAAUGGGCGGAAGCCUGAUGAAGCAACGCCGCGUGCGGGAUGACGGCCUUCGGGGUGUAAAAAGCUUUCGCCUGUGACGAAGCGUGAGUGACGGUAAUGGGUAAAGAAGCACCGGCUAACUACGUG
rnacentral:rRNA from 1 species